UAUUUAUUGAAUGAAUGAAUGAAUGAAAGACUCCCAGCCUCACUGUGGAGACAGACGCACAGACAAUAGCAAUGAGAGGAAAAGCCAAAACAGAUGUAUGGAAAUAGAUAUGGGCACAGAGGAGGAAGAAACAAACACUGCCAGGGGAACUCUCCCAUUGGCGGGUUGCAGAAAGAAUUGUGCAUUGAUUAACCAACCCCCCUUGAAUGUUAUUCUCUCAUAGUUAACAAUGUUGACGGCACAAUAUUGCCAUUUAACACACAGGGAAGGAGCUGGCUCCGUACCAGAUAUUCCAUGUGCAGGUCCCAAGGUAUUCAAGGAGGCAGAAAUUCAUCUGAGCUCUUGGCUCCCACACAGAGCACAAUGGCAACUCUGAAGGGGGCAGACAACCACUGCACCCACAGGCCCUGUUUAUUUUCUCCUCCAGUGGAGGGGGUAGCAUAGGUCAGCUGGAAUGGUGCAUCCUGAUGAAUAUUUAUUGACCCAAAAUGUCAUGCUGACAGACAUGUGGACAGGCAGACAAAGAUUUCUGUUACAGAGGCCUCGCUUCUCUGCUCUCAUGGCUCUGACACGGCUGACAUUUCCCUGCACGGGUCCUGACUUCUCCAGCUGCUCCCGGGAAUGCGGGUGUCUCCCGGACGGGGUCGCCGCAGACACUACCCCACAUGCUUUUCUGGGGGCUGUGCUGCCGCCCAGGCCUCUACCAAACGGUGGCCUCAGCAUGUCGGUUUCCUGUUCCCCCAACCAACACGUGCGCGCGCUGUCAGCUAGCAAGUCUCAACUGCAGUCUCCUCUCCACCAGCUCUUCCGUCUCCUCCCGGAUUCUAUCGCCAAGGCACCUACAAUAUGCCAGAUUCAGCGCUUUCCUGAAGGAGACCAACUUGGGGAAAAAUAACUCAGAACCCAAGUCAUCAUUUGAUGCAUUCCAUGUGGAUGGCCCCCACAUGAAGUAGAGCCCCAGAAGAGAGGAGCUCAGUGGAGCAUUGUCCCACUGAAGUGCAGCAUCACAAGGAAGUGGCCGGUGGUACAGCUCUCACCAUUGGCCCAAGAAGCUUGGACAAGGAGCCCCAAGCUCAAGGACAGAGGAAUAUCAUCACUGUGACAUGCAGAUCUCAUUGCUUAGCCCAGGCUGAGCAUGGAUGCCAUGAAGGUUCCAGGGGGCUGGAGAUCCUGGGCUCUAUCCUGGUGCCCACAUCUGGACCCACCUGCAGGGGACACCUAAGUAGCUGAUGCCUCCCGGAGCUCUUUUGUUCCAGUACUUGGAGGAGUUAUUUUAUCAUUUUUAUUUAUAAUUAACCACGCAGUUUAUUCACACAGCAGUGUGAACUUUUUUUUCCAAAGUGCUUUUAUUAAUAUCCGUCUAUUUUAUUUUUUAUUUGAGCCUCACAAUCAACAAACAAGGUACCCUAUAAAGAGAGGCGAAGAUUAGAUUUGACUAAGUUUAGGUGGGAAUCAGUGGUAGAGGCUGGAUUAGAAGCCAAGUAUCUUGAUUUCUAGACCUGUGCUCUUUCUACAAGAGUUCUUUACAAUGGGGAUAAUAAUAAACAGAAAACACUUCUGCCAUCCCUUUUAUUUUCAUUCUCCUCUUUAAAACUUUGACAUGCUUUAUUUAUGUCAGUUCUCCAGAGAUCAGUUUUCAUGAAACUCUAGUACUUUACUGGCUUCCCUCCAUGCUCAAACAAUGUUAGGUGGAAUCUCCAGUCUUGUUCUGAUUUAUUCAGCAGAUGGGAGAGUUAUUAUCAAUAUUUCUUCAGAGUUUGAUGGGGUAUUUUUGGAUGAUAAAGUUAGUUUCCAUUUAUCAUUAUUUUAUCCCCAGUGCUGGCUUUGGAGGCUUUGACUUUUGUUGUAUGAAUGUGAACCAUGAGGCUGCAUUUAACGUGGCCUGUUUUCCAAGCCAGAAGAGGGGUGACCAGAAUGCAAAGGUAAACGGUGGCCUUUGGCAACGCGGCGGAAAUUUUUGCUUAAAGAGAAAACCAGCGUUGAAUCAGAUCCUUAUUUCUACCUCUCGAGAGCUGGAAAAGGUCAUAGGAAACAUUUAGUAAUUCCAGGGCAAGGCUCUUGUUUUCACUGAUGCAGCAAAUGAGACCCAGAGAAGUCAGGAGAUUGUCUGAGAUCACACGGCCUGUAGGAAAAGAAUUUCUGACUGUGGCUUCUCACCCAGUGGAGAAAAUGCAUCCUGGCAACGUGGAGGAACGUCUACACCUGCGGAUUUGGCCGGGCUCCUCAUCUGCCCUCUGGAGGGGUCUGGACAAAACCACCCCUUCCUAGACGCUGUCAGCCUGUCACCCGAACUGAUUGGAAGUGGCCGGACUCCUGACUAAGCAUCCGCUAUGCGGCUUUUCAAGUGUGGGAGAAUCUCAGUGCACACAGAGGCCCAGAGAAAAUAAACCUGCAAAUAACUUUUGGGAAUGACCAGUUGAUCCCGAGUGCCCUGCGUGUGUGCUCAGUAUUGGUCAGCGGGUUUCACCUGAGCAGGUGGGUUGCUCAGCGUGGUCACCCGGCCACCUACAUCAAAAUCCCCCUCCAGACCUCCUCACGCAGAGCCUCAGGCAGCCGGGGCUGCUGUGCCGUGAGCAAUUCCCCGGCAGCGUUUCUGUGCUGACACCUGGGUGCUCCCCUUUUGUAAGCCUCACGCUGGCUGGGUCAGGUGUCUAUUAAUUAAGCCCCUUAGUUCCCUAGGAUAACAACUCCACAAACUCCAACAAGUCAUCAGAAUAUUGUGCUAAUUGAUGUCUUCUCUUUAAGCGCUACAAGACACCUCCAGAAAAAUAAACAAGGAAAAUCAGCUCCUUUCUUCUUCUGAAAUAGCACUCUUCUUAGCUGCCACUCUUAUUCAAACUCAAUAGA